UUCUGGUUGGGUUGAAAUCAGUGGUCAUUUAUUGAGCUUAUUAUGUUAAUUGUGUGUUAAGAAACACUUUCAUAUUUUUUUUUUUCUAUGAAUGACGAAGCAUGUUCUUAUAAAGUCUGACUGUUAUUGUCUCCUUUAGCAGAUCACCAUGGAGCUUCCUGUUUGUGGAUACUAAAGCCUGCCCACGUUAGAAUACUUUUCAGCCUGAAUUAGGCUCUCCUUUCGAUCACUUGUCACGGAGGGGCAGUUUGGAAUUUGGAUUUCUAUUUGGACUUACAACAUGGUUCCAUAUAUACUGCACUUAUGGACAUGCAGAGACAGUACCAGCAAGGGUUAAAUGUUUUCACUUUUGAAUUAGGGGGUGUGGAAUUCUGGUGUUGACCUUUAAAUGUUCUGUUUUCACUCACCUGUACACACUUGAGAAAGGGCCUUUGCAGCCCGAAACAUGUCGUGUGGACAUAAAAUAAAAGCUUAUUAGCAGUUA